CCCUUAGAUGUUCUGGGCCGCACGCGCGCUACAAUGGUCUUCGCAAACGGAUGCAUUCUCGAAGGAGAAUGCCAAUCUUGGAAUCUAUGCCUUGGUCGGGACAGUUGCUUGCAAUUUUUCGACUCGAACCAGGAAUUCCUUGUAAUCGUGAUUCAUCACAUCACGAUGAAUACGUCCCUGCCCUUUGUACACACCGCCCGUCGCUCCUACCGAUCGAAGAGUUAGGUGAAUUGUUUUGAUCGAUAAGAUUUGACUAUGGUCAACUCUCGUUGGGAAAUUCUGUGAAUCCGACUGUUUAGAGGAAGGAAAAGUCGUAACA
rnacentral:rRNA from 1 species